UACGUAGGUGACAAGCGUUGUCCGGAUUUACUUGGCGUAAAGGGAGCGUAGGCGGCGCGGUAAGUCAGAUGUGAAAUCCCGGGGCUCAACCCCGGAACUGCAUCCGAUACUGCCGUGCUAGAGGAUUGGAGAGGUAGCUGGAAUUCUUGGUGUAGCAGUGAAAUGCGUGGAGAUCAAGAGGAACACUCGUGGCGAAAGCGAGCUACUGGACAAUAUCUGACGCUGAGGCUCGAAGGCCAGGGUAGCGAAAGGG
rnacentral:rRNA from 1 species